AUAGAGAUCUAACUAGCUAUCGGGAUGUUAUUCAGUCCGAGGAUAAUGAUAAAUGGGCGAUAAUGAUGACAGAAGAAAUGGAGUCUUUACAGAAGAACUAAACUUGGUAGUUAGUUCAACUUUCAAAAGGAUCGGCAAGUAGGUGUUCAGGAAAAAGGAAGCUCAGUCCGAUAAAGAAGGUGAAAUGAAAUAUUCAAGGCCAAGUUAGUGGGAAAAAGGAUUCUCUCAGAGAGAGAGAAUCAACUAUAAUAAGAUCUCACCAGUAGUGAAACACGCGUCGAAAUAAAUAACUCAAUUAACUGAACUGAAAUGAACAAAACUAACACAAAGAAAUAGUAGGCUGAAUCAAAUAGUUGGGUAUUAUUUUAUACCGAGCUCAAAACAAAAAUAUAUCUUGCCACACAAACGAGUCAAAUAAUGUCACACAGGCAAGUCACAUUGGACCACGAAUCCAAAUACAUGUAAAAUCGAAAGGCGUGUUUGGCAUAAACAUCACCAAUCCGCAUAACAUAACAGAACAGAAAACUAGGGUUGACCUAUACACCUCCCACAACAAAAUCACCAUAUGGCCAACUCGCAUCGGAG
rnacentral:lncRNA from 1 species